rnacentral:rRNA from 1 species
GAUGAACGCUGGCGGCGUGCCUAAUACAUGCAAGUCGAGCGAACAGACGAGGAGCUUGCUCCUCUGACGUUAGCGGCGGACGGGUGAGUAACACGUGGAUAACCUACCUAUAAGACUGGGAUAACUUCGGGAAACCGGAGCUAAUACCGGAUAACAUGUUGAACCGCAUGGUUUAACAGUGAAAGACGGUCUUGCUGUCACUUAUAGAUGGAUCCGCGCCGCAUUAGCUAGUUGGUAAGGUAACGGCUUACCAAGGCAACGAUGCGUAGCCGACCUGAGAGGGUGAGCGGCCACACUGGAACUGAGACACGGUCCAGAGUCCUACGGGAGGCAGCAGUAGGGAAUCUUCCGCAAUGGGCGAAAGCCUGACGGAGCAACGCCGCGUGAGUGAAGAAGGUCUUCGGAUCGUAAAACUCUGUUAUUAGGGAAGAACAAAUGUGUAAGUAACUAUGCACGUCUUGACGGUACCUAAUCAGAAAGCCACGGCUAACUACGUG